rnacentral:rRNA from 1 species
CCUACGGGAGGCAGCAGUGGGGAAUUGUUCGCAAUGGGCGCAAGCCUGACGACGCAACGCCGCGUGGAGGAUGAAGACCUUCGGGUCGUAAACUCCUUUCGAUCGAGACGAAUGUUUUCCGGGUGAACAAUCCGGAAAAGUGACGGUACCGAGAGAAGAAGCCCCGGCUAACUCUGUGUCAGCAGCCGCGGUAAUACAGGGGGGGUCAAGCGUUGUUCGGAAUUACUGGGCGUAAAGGGCUUGUAGGUGGCCAACUAAGUCAGACGUGAAAUCCCUCAGCUUAACUGGGGAACUGCGUCUGAUACUGGAUGGCUUGAGUUUGGGAGAGGGAUGCGGAAUUCCAGGUGUAGCGGUGAAAUGCGUAGAUAUCUGGAGGAACACCGGUGGCGAAGGCGGCAUCCUGGACCAACACUGACACUGAGGAGCGAAAGCCAGGGGAGCAAACGGGGAUUAGAUACCCCGGUAGUCCUGGCCCUAAACGAUAGAUGCCUGGUGUGGCGGGUAUCGAUCCCUGCCGUGCCGAAGCUAACGCAUUAAGCAUCCGCCGUCGGGUAGGUACGGUCGCGACGGCGUGAACGUACGAAGUAGAAGUUAGACGGCGUGAGACGUGACCGACGGACGACGACGAGGGAGGAGG